ensembl:lncRNA
UUUGAGUAGGGAGAUGAGAGAUGCGAGGGAGAAGGAGUGAGUGAGAGAGAUGUGAGGGAGAUGGAGUGAGUGAGAGAGAUGAGAGGGAGAAGGAGUGAGUGAGAGAGAUGUGAGGGAGAAGGAGUGAGUGAGGGAGAAGGAGUGAGUGAGAGAGAUGUGAGGGAGAAGGAGUGAGUGAGAGAGAUGCGAGGGAGAAGGAGUGAGUGAGAGAGAUGCGAGGGAGAAGGAGUGAAUGAGAGAGAUGCGAGGGAGAAGGAAUGAGUGAGAGAGAUGCGGGGGAGAAGGAGUGAGAGAGAUGCGAGGGAGAAGGAGUGAGUGAGAGAGAUGCGAGGGAGAAGGAGUGAGUGAGAGAGAUGCGACAGGGGAGAAGGAGUGAGUGAGAGAGAUGCGGGGGAGAAGGAGUGAGUGAGAGAGAUGCGGGGGAGAAGGAGUGAGAGAGAUAUGGGUCCAAGCCCCUGUUCCCCUGCUGUUAAAUCCCAACAAAAUCCAGACUUGUUUACAGUGGGGGUUCAGCUCAGCCAAAGCCCUACGGUAGAUCCAGUACAGUACUCUGCUUGUGAGCAGCUUAAAACCCCUUUCUCAAUACGUUUUAUUGCUCAGUGUCAAGUCAACACACAGUAUAAUGAGAUGCUAUGACUGCUUAGGAAACUCAGGGAGCUCAGAGCUAACCUGUCUGUCACCUACCUGGGCCCGUAUUCACAAAGCGUCUCAGAGAAGGAGUGCUGAUCUAGGAUCAGGUCCUGCCUUUUAUUCCUUAUGAUGUCAAAGGCAGAACUGAUUCUAGAUCAGCUCUCCUACUCUGAAUACAGGUCCUGAGCUAUUAGGGGACAGUAUUAGUUGGAACUUAGCUCUAAUUUCUCCCUGUGAUACAGUGUUCUGGUUGGUCUUUCUCCCUGUGAUUCAGUGUUCUGGUUGGUCUUUCUCCCUGUGAUACAGUGUUCUGGUUGGUCUUUCUCCCUGUGAUUCAGUGUUCUGGUUGGUCUUUCUCCCUGUGAUACAGUGUUCUGGUUGGUCUUUCUCCCUGUGAUACAGUGCUCUGGUUGGUCUUUCUCCCUGUGGUCUUUCUGCCUGUGAUACAGUGUUCUGGUUGGUCUUUCUCCCUGUGAUACAGUGUGCUGGUUGGUCUUUCUCCCUGUGAUACAGUGCUCUGGUUGGUCUUUCUCCCUGUGGUCUUUCUGCCUGUGAUACAGUGUGCUGGUUGGUCUUUCUCCCUGUGAUACAGUGUGCUGGUUGGUCUUUCUCCCUGUGAUACAGUGUUCUGGUUGGUCUUUCUCCCUGUGGUCUUUCUCCCUGUGAUACAGUGUUCUGGUUGGUCUUUCUCCCUGUGAUACAGUGUUCUGGUUGGUCUUUCUCCCU